UACGUAGGGUGCGAGCGUUAAUCGGAAUUACUGGGCGUAAAGCGUGCGUAGGCGGUUCGCCAAGUCAGGUGUGAAAUCCCCGGGCUUAACCUGGGAAUUGCGCUUGAAACUAGCGGGCUUGAGUGUGGCAGAGGGGGGUGGAAUUCCACGUGUAGCAGUGAAAUGCGUAGAGAUGUGGAGGAACACCGAUGGCGAAGGCAGCCCCCUGGGUCAACACUGACGCUCAGGCACGAAAGCGUGGGGAGCAAACAGG
rnacentral:rRNA from 1 species